GACUGGGAUGCGCCGCCUGGGAGGAGGCCCUUCCUUCGGUGAAUUCUGGGAGAUGUAGUUCCCUAGCCUCCGCCAAACCCAAGGCUACAUACUAACAUUCGUGGAUAUUCAUACCAUUAUGUGCAAUGGAAUGAUAUGCUCUUGUAUAGGAGCCUCUCAACCACAUCUGAAGGUCUUCUUGAGACCCACCAAUAAUGCAUGUCAUGAUUUUAAU